rnacentral:rRNA from 1 species
UGACCUCAAAUCAGGUAGGACUACCCGCUGAACUUAAGCAUAUCAAUAAGCGGGAGGA